rnacentral:lncRNA from 1 species
UCUGUAAUAUUUUUCGUAAGUGUUUUAAAUAAUAUUUUCAUGAAGAUGAAUAGGUAAAUAAUUUUAAAUCUCAUUUAUGGAUCCAUUUAUCAUUUUUCACGGACAGAUGAUAUAGCGUUCAUGGUUGAUGGUAGAAGGAAACAAAUAUGAUGGUAAAUGCUCACGGAUCACGGCUAAGUGACGUGCUAGGAUUUUCAAAUUCUGAAAUCAAACUUUGGAACACAGGAACUACCAUUGCCCCUUUUGAUCAGUCAUUCUACUUAAGUCUGGGUCUCUACGUCGGUGGAGUGCGGGAUUUUGACGAAGGAGCCUCAAGUAACGGUUAUAUCAAGCCAUGGUCAAACACGGACCCCAGGGCAAUGCUGACGUUUUGGAACCGAAGGAACGAGUGGCAGAGAACUUGGGAGGGAGACUCAACUUUUGUGAUCAAGUCGAUAAAAGUUACAGCCCUUUAGAAUCCCCCCUCCAGCUGAACGGUGUCAAUUUCCCCGGUGCCCCUGUUUUCUCCAAAGGUGGCGAUUCGUAUAAAAAGACAGAACUAGGGUUCCUACAUUUAAUUGUAUGUAAAACAAUCGAUACAUAUCGAGGCAGACCACCAUUCUUAGAAUCUAUUGAUGGAAAUGGAGGAGAAAAACUCCCAACUCAAAAGAAUAGCCGCUGCUCCACAUCCCCGUUUUAUGGCAUCAGACCGCCACACAGUGUAUCGAGUCAUGAGAGAGGUCGGAUAAAAUUUUGAAACUUCAAAAGCUUAAAACUCCGUUUAUACAAAACUUUGAGGCUUAUAAGUGGUUCUAUUGGUUUCAUCGUGAAUUUGUCUUUUACAAGCAUCCGUUGAAAUUUAAAAUGUGAUGACAUAAACAUCAACAUUUGCAGUUUUAGUAAAAUAUUUCAUGUCCGACCUCUCUGAUUGGCUCGAUCCACUGUGCGCCAGAGAAAAAUCCAUGAGAGUAGGUUUUUCAACAGGAAAGGGGAAAAUGCGAAACAGAAUAGGAAACCAAAAUUAUAAAAGUGAACGAUGAUAUGAUAGAAGAGGAAGAAACAAUAUACAGACAUAUUUCUCUUACUUUCAACAUUUAACUGUGAUAAAAUGAUCGUGAUAUCAAUGCAACCAUUCCUGCUCAAAGACUGCCCAAGUUGACUAUACGAAAAGAUGAAGGCGCUCGACCUUAUAAUUACUUCCAUCUACGUGUUUUAUGAGAUGUUUUGUAUUUUGGCUUUCGCACACUAAGUAAAGGAUAAUAUUACAUCUUUCUCCACAUGACUAUUGAAUCUCUUUCAUUCUGCCAGGAUAAUCAAACAUUUUGAGCGUUCACCACGUUAGUAGUGGACGCUCUUUCCGCCCGUUUUGCAGCGUGUAUGUUACUAAUGGAUCCAUUGGUAAUAGCCUGCACUGCUUUAUGGGAAUCGGCGCCAUUUUUCGUGGCGGGUAGCAAUUCCUAGUUUCUCAAUUGUAUUUAUGUACCAUUUCUACCUUUUUCUCCUAUUUUGUUCAUUUUAUGUAAUGCAAGUAGGCUUGUCUUUGAGAAUUUAUUGUCUCUACGUUUUAAAACACUGCAACGUACUUUUAAUUAAUGACUCUUUCGAGCAUCCUUCAAAUUUUUAGUCGUCGGAGAUCUAGAAAAAUUGUUGGGUACCAAGUACCCCUUUACAACAUGACCCCUAUAUUUUACUCUAUGAUGACAAGACAUUCCUUAUAUGUGUAUGUUUCCUAGGUUACGCUCCACGUCUAGCUCAACAGCGUCUUGCAGCGCUCUCUUCCGUCCGCGCAAAACAACUUUUACAUUUUAACAUUGAAGUUUUUUUCUUUUCCCCCGCUAGAUCGAACUGCUGUAAAUCUAAUUACAAUGCGUUGUUGGUGAUCAUAGGAGAAUUUGUGAAUUUGCAGUGUAAUAUUUUCUUUUUCCCGUCGCCAAUCGCCGACGGGACGGUGUUUGACGCACUGCAUUAAGUAUUCCCACAGUCUCAUAAGCGCUAACAUUAAUUUUUUAAUAUAAAAAAAAACGAAUAAAUUGACGAGGUGUUACGGUGAACGCUCUCCAACGUCUUAACGUUGGAACCGUCGUCUUGUUUACUUUUGCCUCUAUCUCUGGAAAUAAAAUUACAAUACAAAUCAAAGGAAUUGAAAAUCACAAAAUAAACCCCAGAGCAAAAUCCCGAACAAAAUGUAUGAUAACCAUGUUUAAGAACCUAUACUUAUUCAAAACUCAGAAAAAUGUAUCGAGCUUCAAUUUUGUGAUUUAAGCAUGUGGUUUGUGUAAAAAUUACAUUCACGGCAACAACCAUAUUGUGCUUCCAAGGUAACAUUAUGAAAAAUAUACGCUGCAAACUUUUAAUUUUUAAAGUCCUCUGUAUCAGCGGGUUCAUUUAUCAUAAACUGUGGAAUUUGUAUCUGGUUGUAAUUGAAAAUAAAUUUUCUAGUCAAAUAUUCUUUUAAAUUCGAAAUAACUCAAACCAGUCGCCCAUUUAUCGAUUUCUAGACUUUCUUAUACAUAUAUUCAGAUCUAAUCAAUGCAUCGAAAUGCGCUAAAACGCUGGGCGAAAUUCCACCCAUCCCUUUUAACAGCUCACAACGUUCUAAUUUGAGUGUGCCGCAGUGGCGAGGCGUGAUAAUCGACCAUCGAUUUUAUCCAAUUUGAAGCUAUAGGAAAGAAUCGAUUAUUAUGGUGUUCGUUGCGAACGCACUGAUAUCGAUCUUUUUUCAUAGGUUUGAAUGGCAUAUCAAUCGAUACAUCGCGAAGUGUCACUGGCGUGCCGGUAAUUACAGCCGAAUAAUUGUACAUUUUCGACUUAUAUAAUUACAUCAUAAAAAAAUUUGUUUCUGUCGCAUCUGAGCAGACAUGUUCAUUCUUUUGUACCUAAUAAAUUUAAUUUGAUGAGGUACGGCUUUAGAACGAUUCAUCUUAUUCGAUGGGCACAAACCUUCCUCAAGAUCUACUCCAGUGAGUCAACUCUUUUCGAAUACAUGCAGUAUUACAAUUUUCCUUUUUGAGUAGAAUUAAAUUCUACAAUUUAGCCCCUACCUCUUACAUUCGAAUCGAUGCAUUGUUGACUUUGACUGGUUCCUUCUUUUUGAAGUCUUUUUUAUUAGUUAUUUCCCGUCCGUCAAAAUUGGUCCGAAAGUUGCAAGAUUUUUGUCUGGGCUCAAUUAUAGACUCUAAUAAAAUGAAUCAUUUUCAUUUUUUGCUCAAAGGAAUACAGAGGUUCGGUUCAAAAAUUUCGUUUCUAAAACACGUAACGAAUUAAAUACGAUUAUUUACUUCCAUUUAUAGAACCUAUGUUUCAAUUAGUUAGCAUCACUUUACUCUUGUUCGAAGAUGACUUCGCCGAGCAAAAAUAUGAAAAGUAAUAAUAUGACAAAAGAAACUAUUAAUAUCUGUAUCUUUAUAUUUCUUUAUGAUGACAAGCGGGGAAAACCGGUUGAAUCUUCGCGAACAGACAGCGUCCAUUGGCCGAAUUCUUUGCAUCCUUCUAUCCCUCGCGACCUAUUCUCUCAUCCUGCAAUUUACCUGCAGGCUACAGUUGCCAUCUCUAAUAUCUUUUCAUGUUAAGAGCCUCAGUUGUUUUGUGCUCCGAUAGAAUGCACUCGUCCGUUUUUCCCAACUUGUUGGCCCUAUUAUUUUUCGCGAUUCUUGUCAACGCAGGUAAUUUUUUUUCCUUUUACAUUUGAAUUAUGAGUCUCCAGCUCGGUAAAUUAUUUUACAUAGAAUUUUAACUUUUUCCUUCAAUUGAGUUACGGAAAAAUGUUUAGUUUUUCUACAAGACGAGGUUGUCUUGAAAUCUCAGCAUGUGCUCUUUUAAAAGUGCUGUAUGUAAAAAUUUGGUGGAGGGACAGAAAAUCAUAUUUCGAUGGGUUUGCGUAUCAGUCAUCUAAUAGAGUGUCGAAAAAAUUAUGAGAUCUGCUCAAUGCAAAAUUUACUCCCUAAUGCGAAAGAUCAUUGUUCUAAAAACAUUAUCGAUGACGUCAUCAAUCGAGAUUAAACGUAUAAUGAUUUCUAUAUCUUGGACGUAGCGACCUAUUUUCUAUCGGGUCUCAAUUUCAAUUGCUAACUUUUAAGACAGGGCUCUAUGAUAUGACUAACCGACCCAUUAGAAAGAUUUUCAACUUUUUCUUUUUUUCAAAUAAUGUGACCUUCAUUUCAGUUGCAAAUGAAGCAGGAAGAAUUAUUCCUGACUUAAAAAAGAAAAGAAAGUGCAUAUUAUAUCAGUAAAAAAUAGAGAGAAUAGUAGAAUACUUUCGCCGUCCAAAAUUGUAUUUUCAACACGAUUGUUAUCGAUGCAUGAUUAUUAAAGUCAAAUUGAAACUUUUCGACAAAUUUGGCUGUGUCACUCAGCCCCCAAGUAUUAUUUUGCAACGAAAAAAUUAGAGUAGGUGAAAUUGCGAUAUUUUCCUAUCUUGUCGAAUUAUUGUCGAUCUUAAACGGAUUAAAAAAAUAAGCAGUUUUAAAAGGAGAAAAAUUACAAUUUAUUUAAAUUAUAUAGCAAUAUAUUUCCACACUAGGAGUCUUUUCAAUUAUUAGAAUAACCUACACAACACUUCGAUGCAGUUCUAUGGCAAUAAUUUAACUGUGUAAUCACAAUUUACUAUAAACUGAGCUACUUCGUGCGGAGAAGUAGAGAGAGCAAAAAUUCAUGGUCCAACGACCUCUUUGAGGCUGUGCAAUCAAUUACCUGAAGGUUUUCAUUUAUUUUAUUUUUCUUUCUCUGGUUUAUAGAUGGGGAAAAUGGAACAUCUAUCAAAAGCUCUAAAAAAGAAAACAGAGGUCUUUUAACCUUAAAGACAGGUUUGGACGGUGAGCGGACCUCAGGACUGGCAUUGGGGUCCGUCGUCAGCUUGCUUGAUCCACUAAACGUAGCGCAUAAACCCGUAUUAAAACCAUCCCCCCCAAACAGUCAGCCCCCUUUGGGAAUCGCGAUUGCAACGUAUCAACCCUCUGGUCCCAUCAGUCAAGGAACGUAUCAACCUGUUGGCCCAGCCAAUCAAGCAACAUAUCAGCCAUCUGGUCCAAUCAAUCAAGGAGCAUAUCAGCCCUCCGGUCCAAUCAAUCAAGGAACUUAUCAACCCUCUGGUCCAAUCAAUCAAGGAACUUAUCAACCCUCUGGUCCAAUCAAUCAAGGAACGUAUCAGCCCUCUGGGCCAAUCAAUCAAGAACGUAUCAACCCUCUGGUCCAAUCAAUCAAGGAACGUAUCAACCCUCUGGUUCAGCCAAUCAAGGGACAUAUCAACCCUCUGGUUCAGCCAAUCAAGGAACGUAUCAACCUUCUGGUUCAGUUGAUCAAGGGACUUAUCAACCUUCCGGUUCAGUCAAUCAAGGGACGUAUCAACCUCCAGGUUCAGUCAAUCAAGAAACGUAUCAACCUGUUGCUCCAAUUAAU